GCCCUAGUAGUGCAGUAGGCUAGCGCGUCAGUCUCAUAAUCUGAAGGUCGUGAGUUCGAGUCUCACCUGGAGCA
rnacentral:tRNA from 1 species